rnacentral:rRNA from 1 species
UACAGAGGUCUCAAGCGUUGUUCGGAUUCAUUGGGCGUAAAGGGUGUGUAGGUGGCGCGCUAAGUUGGGUGUGAAAUUUCGGAGCUUAACUCCGAAACUGCAUUCGAUACUGGCGUGCUUGAGGACUGGAGAGGAGACUGGAAUUCAUGGUGUAGCAGUGAAAUGCGUAGAGAUCAUGAGGAAGACCAGUGGCGAAGGCGGGUCUCUGGACAGUUCCUGACGCUGAGGCACGAAGGUCAGGGGAGCAAACGGG